rnacentral:sRNA from 1 species
UAACUGGUAAAACGGAAAUGUUAGC